rnacentral:rRNA from 1 species
GACGAACGCUGGCGGCGUGCCUAAUACAUGCAAGUCGAACGCAGUGGGGACGGGUGAGUAACACGUGGGUAACCUCCCAUCAGAGGGGAUAACACUUGGAAACAGGUGCUAAACCGAUACUGAUGGAUGGACCCGCGGUGCAUUAGCUAGUUGGUGAGGUAAAGGCUCACAAAGGCCACGAUCAGUAACUGACCUGAGAGGGUGAUCGGCCACACUGGGACUGAGACACGGCCCAGACUCCUACGGGAGGCAGCAGUAGGGAAUAUUCGACAAUGGACGAAAGCCUGACCGAGCAAUGCCGCGUGUGUGAAGAAGGUUUUCGGAUCGUAAAGCUCUGUUGGUAGAGAAGCGGUAUCUAACCAGAAAGCCACGGCUAACUACGUGCCAGCAGCCGCGGUAAUAC